rnacentral:rRNA from 1 species
ACAGCAGUCGCCGCGGUAAUACCGAGGGUGCGAGCGUUAAUCGGAUUUACUGGGCGUAAAGCGUGCGUAGGCGGCUUUUUAAGUCGGAUGUGAAAUCCCUGAGCUUAACUUAGGAAUUGCAUUCGAUACUGGGAAGCUAGAGUAUGGGAGAGGAUGGUAGAAUUCCAGGUGUAGCGGUGAAAUGCGUAGAGAUCUGGAGGAAUACCGAUGGCGAAGGCAGCCAUCUGGCCUAAUACUGACGCUGAGGUACGAAAGCAUGGGGAGCAAACAGGAUUAGAUACCCGUGUAGUCCCUGUCUCUUAUAA